rnacentral:rRNA from 1 species
CCUACGGGAGGCAGCAGUCGGGAAUAUUGCGCAAUGGAGGAAACUCUGACGCAGUGACGCCGCGUGCAAGAAGAAGGUUUUCGGAUUGUAAACUGCUUUAGACAGGGAAGAAACAAGACAGUACCUGUAAAAUAAGCUCCGGCUAACUACGUGCCAGCAGCCGCGGUAAUACGUAGGGAGCAAGCGUUAUCCGGAUUUAUUGGGUGUAAAGGGUGCGUAGACGGGAAGUCAAGUUGGUUGUGAAAUCCCUCGGCUUAACUGAGGAACUGCAACCAAAACUAACUUUCUUGAGUGCUGGAGAGGAAAGUGGAAUUCGUGGUGUAGCGGUGAAAUGCUUAGAUAUCACGAAGAACUCCGAUUGCGAAGGCAGCUUACUAAACUGCCACUGACAUUGAUGCUCGAAAGUGUGGGUAUCAAACAGGAUUAGAUACCCUAGUAGUC